rnacentral:rRNA from 1 species
GACGAACGCUGGCGGCGUGCUUAACACAUGCAAGUCGAACGAUGAAGCCGGAGCUUGCUCUGGUGAAUUAGUGGCGAACGGGUGAGUAACACGUGAGUAACCUGCCCUUGACUCUGGGAUAACUGCUAGAAAUGGUAGCUAAUACCGGAUACGACCCUCGGAGGCAUCUCCAGGGGGUGGAAAGAAUUUCGGUCAAGGAUGGACUCGCGGCCUAUCAGCUAGUUGGUGAGGUAACGGCUCACCAAGGCGACGACGGGUAGCUGGCCUGAGAGGGUGACCGGCCACACUGGGACUGAGACACGGCCCAGACUCCUACGGGAGGCAGCAGUGGGGAAUAUUGCACAAUGGGCGCAAGCCUGAUGCAGCAACGCCGCGUGAGGGAUGACGGCCUUCGGGUUGUAAACCUCUUUCAGCGGGGACGAAGCGAAAGUGACGGUACCCGCAGAAGAAGCACCGGCCAACUACGUGCCAGCCGCCGCCGUAA